GCCUGUUUUAUCAAAAACAUCGCCUCUUGACAUCUAUAAGAGGUCCAGCCUGCCCAGUGAUAAAUUCAACGGCCGCGGUAUCCUAACCGUGCGAAGGUAGCAUAAUCACUUGUUCCUUAAAUAGGGACUCGUAUCAAUGGCAUCACGAGGGUUACACUGUCUCCUCCCUCCAAUCAGUGAAACUGAUCUCCCCGUGAAGAAGCGGGGAUGAACCAAUAAGACGAGAAGACCCCAUGGAGCUUUAAAUCUCACAGCAACUCUUACAUUUAAUUCCUCACAACCUAUAGAGUAAUGCACGUCGGUUUUAGGUUGGGGUGACCGCGGAGUAAAAAUUACCCUCCACGACGAAAAGAACUAAGCCUUUAUCUAAGAGUAACCUCUCUAAGAAUUAGUAUACUAACGAACAAUGACCCGAUAAUCGAUCAACGGACCAAGUUACCCUGGGGAUAACAGCGCAAUCUACUUCAAGAGCCCGUAUCAACAAGUAGGCUUACGACCUCGAUGUUGGAUCAGGGUAUCCCGGUGGUGCAGCCGCUACUAACGGUUCGUUUGUUCAACGAUUAAAACCCUACGUGAUCUGAGUUCAGACCGGACGUCGUGAUCUGAGUUCAGACCGGAC
rnacentral:rRNA from 1 species